GAGUUUGAUCAUGGCUCAGGAUGAACGCUGGCGGUAUGCUUAACACAUGCAAGUCGAACGAAACCUUUCGGGGUUUAGUGGCGGACGGGUGAGUAACGCGUGAGAAUCUGGCUUCAGGUCUGGGACAACCACUGGAAACGGUGGCUAAUACCGGGAUGUGCCGAGAGGUGAAAGGUUAACUGCCUGAAGAUGAGCUCGCGUCUGAUUAGCUAGUUGGCAGUGUAAUGGACUACCAAGGCGACGAUCAGUAGCUGGUCUGAGAGGACGAUCAGCCACACUGGGACUGAGACGCGGCCCAGACUCCUACGGGAGGCAGCAGUGGGGAAUUUUCCGCAAUGGGCGAAAGCCUGACGGAGCAAUACCGCGUGAGGGAGGAAGGCUCUUGGGUCGUAAACCUCUUUUCUCAGGGAAGAACACAAUGACGGUACCUGAGGAAUAAGCAUCGGCUAACUCCGUGCCAGCCGCCGCCGUAAU
rnacentral:rRNA from 1 species